AGCUCCCCGAUCUUCUGCUCUAUGCGCUGCUUGAAAGCACUUACGUCCACGUGCACCUCCCUCACGGCGGCGUGUAAGGUGGCCCUGAACUGAACCAGAGUCUCGCUUACCAUCGCCCCCUGAACACCUUCUGUGGCUACAUCCAUGGCUUCUUCAGUGACCCUAUCCACCCGAGAUUCAAGACGAAAGAGUAAUGGGGGGGUCGGGCUUCUCUUUCUCUUCUCUGCAGUUCUUUCUCUGAUUCACGUCCUUUGAGACUUUGAGUUCUUGACCAAAUUAUUUUUGAGAUCUCCACUAAUCCGUAUUUCAAAGACUUGUGCUGCGCUCCAUGCCAACGUUUCAGCAAGAGUUGAAGAUGAUUUCUAAAGGUGCUGCAGGAAGAUCCCUUGGCGGCAACUCAGUAAAGUCCCUUCAAGCUCCAUGGAAGACUUCUCUCAAUACGUCAGCUCGAGCCAGCAGUGCCUCUGGGUGGCCAUGACUUCACACUACAGCUCAUCGUGACGCGGCUGAUACACGGCACACACUAAAUAAAACGAGGAAAUGCAAAGUGAGAAGAAAAUGUAGAUAAUCUUUAUUUAAAGCAGACACAGAUGAUGACAGCGCUUCUUUCUCUUUAAGUUCCUGCAAAUGAUCCUCUGAUUCCUUCAUGAUUGACAUCCUGAUGUUGCUCUCGCUCACCUCAGUCUUUUUAAAUGACGCCUUGUAACACCACAUACAUUGUAUAUCGUCUCACAGCUGAAGCUGCAGAUCGGGGUGACACGUCUCAGUGGGUUCACGUUGUGAUGGGAUAUAAAAAUAUGGAUAAUAAGGAUUUAAGUUUACGGUUCAACUCUCACGUUGAGUCACGUGCUACUGACUGAUUAUGGGGCAACAUGAAGACAACGCGAAGGCUAAAUGAAGCAUGAAUAUUUAAUGUUAUAGACAUACUUUUGUUUCUCAGGGGCUUUAAAAUAAAGCUUUUAAUGGAUGUUGAUGGUGUGCAAAGACAGAUAACAAGACAAGGAAAACAAAACAGAGGCUCGUUCAAAACGGUCUAUCAAAUCAAAUUUAUUGAAUUUUUUUAAAGAGGUGCUCUGAAUUCACAAGUUGCAGCUACAGUACAUAACUCCUCUCACAUCAAUAGUUUUAAGCUAUUUCGUAAAACAGUCCAAUCUCUUUUCAGAUUUUAGAAAUUUCCUCAAAAAAAAUUAAAAUAAAGUCACGCUACAAAAAAAAAAAAAAAAAAAAAAAAGAUGCAUCAAAUGUGAUAUAUGUGUAUGAAAAAUUAGAAUGCUAUCAAAAAUAAUGUGAGGCAGGACGUGUUAAAGGUUGUGAAGGUGCUGCAUUCAAGUGGGAUACACGCCCGGGGAGCAGUGAGUGACAGCAGGUUCAAAUCUCCAAAAACAUAAACAUCCACCAAACAGACAGAUGAAAAGUCUAAAAACAGAAACACAGCAAACAAAUUCACAAUAUACUGAUGCUUUAAAGGGGUUUCAACCGCAGGUGAUGCACGUCCAUUCAGAAAAACAACAUGAGGGGAUUUGCUUGAUAAUUUGAAAGUAUAGAUUAAAUGCUACAACAUG